UACGGGGGGAGCAAGCGUUGUUCGGAUUUACUGGGCGUAAAGGGCGCGUAGGCGGCGUGACAAGUCACUUGUGAAAUCUCCGGGCUUAACUCGGAACGGUCAAGUGAUACUGUCGUGCUAGAGUACAGAAGGGGCAACUGGAAUUCUCGGUGUAGCGGUGAAAUGCGUAGAUAUCGAGAGGAACACCUGCGGCGAGGGCGGGUUGCUGGGCUGAUACUGACGCUGAGGCGCGAAAGCCAGGGGAGCGAACGGG
rnacentral:rRNA from 1 species